AUGAGGAUGGUCAUUAUCAUUUUCUGAGCUGAGAACGGGCAGAAAGCUGCACAAGGACAUGAGGAUGUUCAGUCUUUUUUUGAGCUGCGAACGGGCAGAAAGCUACACAAGGAGAUGAGGAUGUUCAUAGUCAUUUUUUGAGCUGCGAACGGGCAGAAAGGACUUGUGGAAUCAGCUACCGACCACGAUGGUGAUGCGAUAGCCCGUGACAAGAGGCACUCAGUGACACACAGAGUACCGCGGCAGUAACUGGCAUUGUGCCCAUCAAUAAAAUAUAUCGUAAAAAUAAAAUGAAAUUAUGACUUCUGGUGUGCGAGUGCUUGUCA